UACGUAGGGUGCGAGCGUUGUCCGGAAUUAUUGGGCGUAAAGAGCUUGUAGGCGGUUUGUCGCGUCUGCCGUGAAAAUCCGGGGCUCAACCCCGGACUUGCGGUGGGUACGGGCAGACUAGAGUGUGGUAGGGGAGACUGGAAUUCCUGGUGUAGCGGUGAAAUGCGCAGAUAUCAGGAGGAACACCGAUGGCGAAAGCGGAUCUCUGGGCCAUUACUGACGCUGAGGAGCGAAAGCGUGGGGAGCGAACAGG
rnacentral:rRNA from 1 species